rnacentral:rRNA from 1 species
GAGUUUGAUCCUGGCUCAGGAUGAACGCUAGCGGCAGGCUUAAUACAUGCAAGUCGAGGGGCAGCAGCUUUAUAGCAAUAUAGAGGCUGGCGACCGGCAAACGGGUGCGGAACACGUACACAACCUUCCUUGAAUAGGGGGAUAGCCCAUAGAAAUGUGGAUUAAUACCCCGUAAUAUAGCGGUGUGGCAUCACACUGUUAUUAUAGUUUYGGCGAUUCGAGAUGGGUGUGCGGCUGAUUAGGUAGUUGGCGGGGUAAAGGCCCACCAAGCCUUCGAUCAGUAGCUGAUGUGAGAGCAUGAUCAGCCACACGGGCACUGAGACACGGGCCCGACUCCUACGGGAGGCAGCAGUAAGGAAUAUUGGUCAAUGGACGCAAGUCUGAACCAGCCAUGCCGCGUGAAGGAUGAAGGUCCUCUGGAUUGUAAACUUCUUUUAUAGGGGGCGAAAAAAGGUCUUCUAGAUCACUGACAGUACCGU